GAUACUGUUGACCUUUUACUCUUUGCCAUUCAUCCCUCUUGGCUUCUACAGCAAGACACUCUCCUAGUUCUUGCCUACUUUCUCGCCCUUUCUCCCCCGCAUUCUCUGUGUCCGUAUUUUCUUCCUUUUGCUCCCCCAGCAGAGCAAUUUUCCAGAGAAUCUGUUUUUUCAUUUCUCUGUACUCUCUUGCAUAGUAACACCUCCUGUCUCUCACCAGUGUCAACUACUGCAUUUCCCUAGUUGGUGUGAAAUCCACAUUCCCAGUACAGGAGCCUCACUUUUCAGUCCUGUGGGACUUUGCCAUUGUAUAUCCUGGAUGACUUCAAACUCAAUAUGACUUUCCUUCCAGGUCACUUCCUCUCCUUUCCCUGCUUUUGUUGCUAGACCGCCAUUCCCCUAGGCACCUAUGCUCAACAUUCCAGAGACAUUUUAAGUGCUUCUCUUCUCUCACUGUUCCUAUCCACCGUCCUCUUUAGUCUUUCUACCCCUGGAUCUGACAUCCAUGGUUUCUAUCCUUGCCCCAGCUCCAGCCCUACCUAGAUCAUGGUCAGGGCAUAGCAAUUGCCUCUGGGGACUCUCUAUCCAGUCUUUCAUCAUGAGCCAUCCUGCAUAUGACCACCAAAUCAAUCUUCCUAAAUAUCGCUUGUGUUAUAGCUUCCGGGCUGCUUUGUUUACCUAAUCAAGCCCGGGCAAUGGCGGGCGCCCCUCCCCCAGCCUCGCUGCCGCCUUGCAGUUGGAUCUCAGACUGCUGUGCUAGCAAUCAGCGAGACUCCGUGGGCAUAGGACCCUCCGAGCCAGAUAUAUUGUUGUUUAUAAUUGCACUCCUGUGUCCUUACAGGCCACUUCCUCUUUCUCUCUCUCUGUGAUCUCAG
rnacentral:lncRNA from 1 species